rnacentral:tRNA from 1 species
CGGGGUGUAGCACAGUUGGUUAGCGCACCUGGUUUGGGACCCGUAGGUCCCCCGUUCGAGUCGGGGUACCCCGA